AAAUUGAAGAGUUUGAUCAUGGCUCAGAUUGAACGCUGGCGGCAGGCCUAACACAUGCAAGUCGAGCGGUAGCACAGAGAGCUUGCUCUCGGGUGACGAGCGGCGGACGGGUGAGUAAUGUCUGGGAAACUGCCUGAUGGAGGGGGAUAACUACUGGAAACGGUAGCUAAUACCGCAUAACGUCGCAAGACCAAAGUGGGGGACCUUCGGGCCUCAUGCCAUCAGAUGUGCCCAGAUGGGAUUAGCUGGUAGGUGGGGUAACGGCUCACCUAGGCGACGAUCCCUAGCUGGUCUGAGAGGAUGACCAGCCACACUGGAACUGAGACACGGUCCAGACUCCUACGGGAGGCAGCAGUGGGGAAUAUUGCACAAUGGGCGCAAGCCUGAUGCAGCCAUGCCGCGUGUGUGAAGAAGGCCUUCGGGUUGUAAAGCACUUUCAGCGGGGAGGAAGGCGAUAAGGUUAAUAACCUUGUCGAUUGACGUUACCCGCAGAAGAAGCACCGGCUAACUCCGUGCCAGCAGCCGCGGUAAUACGGAGGGUGCAAGCGUUAAUCGGAAUUACUGGGCGUAAAGCGCACGCAGGCGGUCUGUCAAGUCGGAUGUGAAAUCCCCGGGCUCAACCUGGGAACUGCAUUCGAAACUGGCAGGCUAGAGUCUUGUAGAGGGGGGUAGAAUUCCAGGUGUAGCGGUGAAAUGCGUAGAGAUCUGGAGGAAUACCGGUGGCGAAGGCGGCCCCCUGGACAAAGACUGACGCUCAGGUGCGAAAGCGUGGGGAGCAAACAGGAUUAGAUACCCUGGUAGUCCACGCUGUAAACGAUGUCGAUUUGGAGGUUGUGCCCUUGAGGCGUGGCUUCCGGAGCUAACGCGUUAAAUCGACCGCCUGGGGAGUACGGCCGCAAGGUUAAAACUCAAAUGAAUUGACGGGGGCCCGCACAAGCGGUGGAGCAUGUGGUUUAAUUCGAUGCAACGCGAAGAACCUUACCUGGUCUUGACAUCCACAGAACUUAGCAGAGAUGCUUUGGUGCCUUCGGGAACUGUGAGACAGGUGCUGCAUGGCUGUCGUCAGCUCGUGUUGUGAAAUGUUGGGUUAAGUCCCGCAACGAGCGCAACCCUUAUCCUUUGUUGCCAGCGGUUCGGCCGGGAACUCAAAGGAGACUGCCAGUGAUAAACUGGAGGAAGGUGGGGAUGACGUCAAGUCAUCAUGGCCCUUACGACCAGGGCUACACACGUGCUACAAUGGCAUAUACAAAGAGAAGCGACCUCGCGAGAGCAAGCGGACCUCAUAAAGUAUGUCGUAGUCCGGAUUGGAGUCUGCAACUCGACUCCAUGAAGUCGGAAUCGCUAGUAAUCGUAGAUCAGAAUGCUACGGUGAAUACGUUCCCGGGCCUUGUACACACCGCCCGUCACACCAUGGGAGUGGGUUGCAAAAGAAGUAGGUAGCUUAACCUUCGGGAGGGCGCUUACCACUUUGUGAUUCAUGACUGGGGUGAAGUCGUAACAAGGUAACCGUAGGGGAACCUGCGGUUGGAUCACCUCCUUACCUUAAAGAA
rnacentral:rRNA from 1 species